GCACAAGUAGUGGAGCAUGUGGUUUAAUUCGAAGAUACGCGCAGAACCUUACCAACACUUGACAUGUUCGUCGCGACUCUAAGAGAUUAGAGUUUUCGGUUCGGCCGGACGACACACAGGUGCUGCAUGGCUGUCGUCAGCUCGUGUCGUGAGAUGUUGGGUUAAGUCCCGCAACGAGCGCAACCCUCACUUUUAGUUGCCAUCAUUAAGUUGGGCACUCUGAAAGAACUGCCAGUGAUAAGCUGGAGGAAGGUGGGGAUGACGUCAAGUCCUCAUGGCCCUUACGUGUUGGGCUACACACGUGCUACAAUGGCAUUUACAACAGGAAGCAAAACGGCAACGUUAAGCAAAUCCCGAAAAGAUGCCCCACUUCGGACUGCAAAUUCCAACUCCCUUGCAUAUACCCUAACUUAAAAGU
rnacentral:rRNA from 1 species